CCCACCUGCACAGGCUGAAUUCCCUCCUUUGGUCCUUAAAGACCUUCUGUUUUCCGUGAUUGGCCCGGGCCGGGGCAGGCCUAGACUUAAAGGGACUGCGCCCUCCAGGGGCAGGCGGGAGGGAAGUGACCUGUGGAGUUUGUAGCGGAGUUGGACCACUAAAAAAUUCCAGGGUUCUAUUUGGCGCUGGAAGGAAUUUAGAAGGCCCCUGGCCUGGUCCUGGUCAUCUGCUAUUUUCAGAAGCCCAGAGAGAUUGCGCCACUUGUUCGACUCCACACAGCGCUCCUCCUGCUCUUCCAGAGUUGAAGAAAGGCAGGAGGACUGCAGAGGUGCUGAGCCAAUCCCUCUCCAGGCCUGCUCCGCUUGGGGCGCAGGGGCCUGUGAGUCUAGGGCUGAGCCAGGGCCUGUGUGUAGAUGGAGCUUCACAUUUACUCCAGCUACACGGCCACCCGUUCUCUUCUGGAAGCCUGCUCCUGCCCCUACGUCUUGGAGCCCACAACUGCCCCCUGAUCUCUGCGCAUCUGGCUGCUCAUCCUUCCAGCCUCAGCCCGAAGAGGCCUCCCCUGACCUCUCCCUCUGAAGGGCUCCUCUCUCUGUUUCGGCCCUCUCACAUUUCAGGCCCUGCAGUUGCCUCAUCUAUGGAUGUGUUACCGGUUUGACUCUCUUCCCCACUAGAUUGUAAGCCCCAUGGGCCAGGGACCUCAUCCUCUGCUAUAUUGGCACCUGGUUGGUGCCGAAUAAAUGGAUAUGGAAUCAA